UACGGAGGGUGCAAGCGUUAUCCGGAUUCACUGGGCUUAAAGGGCGCGUAGGCGGCACGGCAAGUCAGGAGUGAAAGCCCGGGGCUCAACCCCGGAAUGUCUUUUGAAACUGCCGAGCUAGAGUGCGGAAGAGGCAACUGGAAUUCCCAGUGUAGCGGUGAAAUGCGUAGAUAUUGGGAAGAACGCCUGAGGCGAAGGCGGGUUGCUGGGCCGACACUGACGCUGAGGCGCGAAAGCCAGGGGAGCGAACGGG
rnacentral:rRNA from 1 species